GAACAGGAUCACAUAGUUUUCACUAACACAGGUAAUCUUGAAAGCAUACCUGAAGCGGUGGAAGAGGAUCACAGAGUUUUCACUAACACAGGUUCCCCAACAGAAAGCUUUGUUGCGGACGAUAAUCAGUCUGAAGAAGAAGAUGAUGAGUACUUCAUAUUUGCUGGCAGAGG